CUGAGCUGCGGUGUGUUCGUGCGAGGUUGCUGCUGAGCUGCGGUGUGUUCGUGCGAGGUUACUGCUGAGCUGCGGUGUGUUCGUGCGAGGUUACUGCUGAGCUGCGGUGUGUUCGUGCGAGGUUACUGCUGAGCUGCGGUGUGUUCGUGCGAGGUUACUGCUGAGCUGCGGUGUGUUCGUGCGAGGUUACUGCUGAGCUGCGGUGUGUUCGUGCGAGGUUACUGCUGAGCUGC
rnacentral:lncRNA from 1 species